rnacentral:rRNA from 1 species
GACAGAGGGUGCAAACGUUGUUCGGAAUUACUGGGCGUAAAGCGAGUGUAGGCGGUCUGCUAAGUCGGGUGUGAAAGCCCCGGGCUCAACCCGGGAAGUGCACUCGAAACUGGCAGGCUAGAGUAUCGGAGAGGUUGGUGGAAUUCUCGGUGUAGAGGUGAAAUUCGUAGAUAUCGAGAGGAACACCGGUGGCGAAGGCGGUUCUCUGGGCAUUACCUGACGCUGAGGAGCGAAAGCAUGGGGAGCAAACAGG